UAUACCAUUAUUGCAUUACACUCACUCUGUUUCUCCCUGUGUCCUUUCUCCGAGUGUCCCUGAUCCCAGAGCUGGAUGCUUCAGAUCUGUGGUGGUUCUCCCACCAACUGGCCUAAUCUCCAUCUGUGGGAUGCUGCUGCUGCUGACCUUCCUCCAGCCCACUGCUUCCAGCUGCCCAUUUCCAUCAAUCUACUCUGCAUCACCCUCACUAUAUUUGAUUUGCUCAUCUACAUAUUUUUGAAUGUAUCACCAGCUAUAUAUGUAGUAUAUUUAAUGCCAGAGCCAUACACCAUAGCAGUAAACUAUAAUCGGUUUCCAGCCCAGAGGGAUAUAUCCACAGAUUUUUUUAAAUACCAUGUAGAAGACUAUAUACGGGAAGAUGAGGUAUCAGUUCUUGCACAUAGAUAUACGACAGUCCUUUAUUACUCCCCAGGUCAGGGGAAAUUUCCAGUCUUGGAGCAGCAAAAAUCUUUCAGAGCAGCACUAACCAUGUGUACAGUAAAGAUAAUUAUAAUAACAAUAAUAUAUACAAGAAUGAAAAAUGAAUAAAUACAGUAUUACUACACUAUAAGUGACAUCAGCAUAAAGUGGCUUGUGGAAUACAUGUAAUUGUAAAAGUGCAGAAAAUGCCAGCAGUGCAAGGAGUUGUGGAGAUUUUCUCAAAACAGGUGAGUCCUGUGAAUAUGACCAAAAUAUGAGAUAAAACUACCAGAAAUAUGUACAAAAUGACCAAAAUAUGAUUGGUUGAUAAUGUAUCAGUUUUGUUAUUGAUUAUUGAUCAGUUGCAGGGGCAGAGAUUUGUGUCCGAGUCUCUGAUGUCAUCUAAUCGCUCAUGUAAGAUCAUGUCACAGGAGGGGGCGCUACUGACCUCUUGUGGACACAGGCGGUAACCACACGGCAUUAUUAUUAACUGUCUCGCUGGCGACAUUACAGAUGAGCAGCACUUCCUGUUAAUCUUCAACGUAAAAGCAUCUUUCUUUAUUGUACAUUUUAUGUCAAAAGUAUUACUAAGCGAUUUUGGUCGAUUCAGAAGGAUCUUUGGUGUAAACUAAGUCGUAUUCAACGACAGCUAGCUUAUCCACUUGCUCCAAUUACUUUUGUUGUAGUCUGAGUCACGUCCAAACAGGAAAUGAAUCUACAAUGUAGCUAAUGCCAAUCUAUAGCUGCAUCUGUGACGGCAUCGUUAGCGAGCUAGCAGCUAAUCAGAAGCUAGUGACCAGCUAACUCCAGCACUACAAGCAGCGUCUCUUUAAAAGGUGCUGAUCAGGAUAUCAGGCUGAAACAUUAGACCUGGGACAGGAAAAGGAGCUAGAACGCUGUGUCUUGGAGAGGAUUGAUUUUAGAACUACGUGUUUUACGGUAGUAGUCCGUGUCAUAACAAACCCUCGUUAGCACUUCCGCUAGCUCGGCUAACACUUCCGGUCACGAAUGCAUUUGUACAUUAGCUAUGACGUGUUCAUUUUUGAACGUAUGGUGACAACAAACACAAUUUGAGGGAGUCGACAAGCUAGUGGUCCUUAAAUACAUUUUGGUUCAUACUGCAGAUUCUUCUGAGUCUCACAAAACCACGUUUUAGCCUAAGAGCAUUACGAUAGUUUUACGUUGAAACAGGAAGUGGCUGCUCAUCUGUAAUGUCGCCAGUUUUGCCUCAAAUAGUAAUCGUGUCGUUACCGCCUGUGUCCGCCAGAGGGGCAGUAGCGUCCCCUGCUCUGAUAAGGACAAGGAUAAACUUUAUUGAUCCCACAGUGGGUAAAGUUCACUGAGCUGCUCCAUGAGGAGAGUCUUUUAGUUUUCAGAUAAUAUGAUGGUGAAGAAAAUGUGUUACUGCAGUAAAGAUUCCACUGAAUUAUUAUUUGAUCCAUGAUCGGGGUUCACUCAGUUCUUCUCCAGUUUGUUGCUGCUGUCGGGUGAACAGGUGAGCUCCAGGUGAACAGGUGAUGUCAGCAGCAGGUCAGUCUGUGAUUGGAGCUCAUCUAAAUUAAAUGUUAUGCUAAUGUAGAUGCACUCAUGUGACAUAAACUGUGAAGUCCACUCUAAAGUGGAUUAGGCUUAGAGCCAAGAUUUUUAACUUUUGUAUCUCUGUGUUCCCCCCGCUGACCUGAGCAGGUGGUACGUUCCACUCAGACACACCUGACAGAAUCAAACCACCAACACACACGCCACACAGCUGCAGUUUAUUUCACCUUCACGUAGUUUUAUUGAUCUUUUCAUAGUUUCUUCAUCUUUGAAUGAAUAUUUUUGGCACAAAAUGUGAACUUUUUGAACGGACUCUGCUCGUCAGAUGGACGAACGUCGGGGAGUUUGUUGGAAGAUUCAGGUGAGAGGAAACAGAAGUAGGAUGUUAGGAUCUGAUGCUGUUGUUGUGAACUCAGAGCUUUCUACCCGAGUGGAGCUACAGAGACACUCAGUGGCUAAAUGGAGGAACUGCAGCCCCACAGGUCAGGUCAGAUCAGAUCAGCAGCACCUGGUUCACACGGAAACAUCAUGUUUCUUGAUGCACAUGAGGCUCCAGGUAGUUAGAAUAUACUUGACUUGUUCAUUUAAAAUGUUUUCCUCAAAACUCGACCAGCUUCAUUAGAGUAAAUCGUCAUGAUGUCAUGUUCAGAUAAUACCAAAGAGGAGGUUUAUGUUUUCUCUGCUUGAGUCUGCUUGAGGCUUUCUCUGCUGAAAAUAACAAAGCUGAGGUUCUUACGGAUGAAUAAUUAAGAAAAAUCUCAAGUUAGGUAAAGUUGGCAAGAUAUUCACAGAUUCGGACUUCAGGCAUCAACAACUCAUGAGAUAUACGUUGUAAAAACAUAAUGCCUCUUUCAAAUCGCUGUAAGCUAGACAAUGUGCUACAAGGCCAGUUUUAUCAAAAGUCGCUGUCUUUCAAGUUGCAGAAAUAACAUUGAUGUCUAUGAGCAGCCGGCUGUGCUACGAGUGAACAGGGACCGUCUGCAUAUAGCAAAACUGCAACAGCGAAGAGACACAAAUAUUCAAUUACUUAACUUUUAUACACUGUAGUGUCACUAAAUUUUCUGCAGCCAUCAAUUGUCUCCUGCUGGUCAUACUACAACUCUUGGUUUGAUACUAAAUACAAAAUCUGACUUUUAAGGAAUUUUCAUUGUUUUUUUAUUAUUUUAUUUGUCAUAAAAUUCAAUAACUUCACUCUAUACACUGCAGUAUCACCAAAAUCACUGGAGCCUUCAAUUGUCUCCUGCUGGUCAUAUUACAACUCUUGGUUGGAUACUAAAUACAAAACCUGAAUUUUGAGGAAUUUUCAUUGUUUUAUCAUUUUAUUUGUCAUAAAAUUCAAUAACUUCACUCUUAUACACUGUAGUGUCACCAAAAUCACUGGAGCCAUCAAUUGGCUUCUGCUGGUCAUACCACAACACUUGGUUUGAUAAUAAGUACAAAAUUUGAAUUUUAAAUAAUUUUUAUUGGUAAUAAAAUUCAUUAACUUCACUCUUAUGUACUGUAGUGUCACCAAACUCGCUACUGCCAUCAGCUGUCUCCUGACUGUCAUAGUACAACCCUUGGUUUGAUACUAAAUACAAAAUCUGAAUUUUAAGGAAUUCUUAUUGGUAAUAAAAUUCAGUAACUUCACUCUUAUACAUUGUAGUGUCACCAAAAUCAAUGGAGCCUUCAAUUGUCUCCUGCUGGUCAUACUACAACUCUUGGUUUGACACAAAAUAAAGAAAUCUGAAUUUUAAGAAAUCUUUAUUAUUUUAUCAUUAUUUUAUUAGUCAUAAAAUUCAAUAACGUCACUCUAAUACACUGUAGUGUCAUCAAAUUCACUGGAGCCAUCGGUUGGCUCCUGAUUGUCAUACUACAACUCUUGGUUUGACAUUCAGUAAAAAAUCUGAAUUUUAAGGAAUUUUUGUAGUAACUAAAAUUCACUUACUUUACUCUUAAACACUGCAGAAAAAAAUAAACUCCAUCCAACCAUCAAAAGGGUCCUACUGAUCAUACUUUCAGGUUUUUUCUUCCAAGUAUUGUCUGUACAGUCCUUAACUUGGAAAAUAUUAUUAGCUGUUUAACAUUAGGGUUUAAAUGAAUCAGUUAAUGCUGCAGCCUUGUAAGAAGGCAUCUGACUGUCUUUCUUCCCAAUCGUCAGUACUUGAGGAGACAGUCUAAACAGUUUAGUUUGGUAUAUUGGUGUUAUCUGAUCCUCUCUUUGAUGAGGAGUCCAAGUUCCAUCACUAUUCAGUAUCAUGUAUUUGGACAAACAGGUGCACUGUGGAUCUAAAACUAUAGCCCCACAUACAUCAAGAGAAGAGCCAUCAAAGCUAAUUUACUCAUAAUCCUUAAACUUCACACACAAGCAUGCACACUAAAUAGUGUGCACGACUUCACAUGGCAAUAAACAACCCCAAUAAUUAAAAUUCAGUUACUUUUGGUUAUUAAUGUUGCACAAUCUACCAAAAAAAUGGAUGACCACUUUUAACUGUUACAACAAAAAUAUUUCACAUAUAUAACAACAAUUUCAUUACUCAUAAAAAAAUCCUUAAAAUCAUGAAAAAUAGUUAAAUAUCAAACCAAGAGUUGUAGUAUGAUCAACAGGAGCCAACUGAGUUAGACAGAGUGUAAUCUUUUUGCAGUACAUAAGAGGGAAGUUAUUGAAUUUUAUUACUAAUAAAAUAAUAAGAAAAUAAGAAAAAAAUUCCUUAAAAUUCAGAUUUUUUUAUUUAAUAUCAAACCAAGAGUUGUAGUAUGACCAGCAGGAGUCAACUGAUGGCUCCAGUGAUUUUGGUAAUACUACAAUGUAUAAAAGUGAAGUUAGUGAAUUUUAUUACCAAUGACAAUUCCUUAAAAUUCAGAUUUUGUAUUUAAUAUCAAACCAAGGGUUGUACUAUGACAGUCAGGAGACAACUGAUGGCAGCAGCGAGUUUGGUGACACUACAGUACGGAAGAGUGAAGUUAAUGAAUUUUAUUACCAAUAAAAAUUAUUUAAAAUUCAGAUUUUGUACUUAAUAUCAAACCAAGUGUUGUAGUAUGACCAGCAGGAGACAAUUGAAGGCUCCAAUGAUUUUGGUGACGCUACAGUAAACAAGUGGGAAGUUAUUGAAUUUAUUACUCAUAAAACAAUACUAAAAUAGUGAAAAUUUCUUAAAAUUCCGAUUUUUUUUAUUUAGUGUCAAACCAAGAGUUGUAGUAUGACCAGCAGGAGACAAUUGAAGGCUCCAGUUAUUUUGGUGACACUACAAUAUAUAGAUGCUGAGAGACAAAGCGGUGGACAUCCAGAGGGGAGAGGUGAGUUAGACACAUGCACGGUCUCACGUAGGUGCUGGGUGUUUUGUGUGUGGGUGGCACAUUAUGCUGGUGACUUGUUUUGAUCACUUGUAUGUGUAAUUGAUUGUUUUGUCAGAGAUUGAAGACAGUAGACUUUGCUCGAUUGCUCAUGUUGCUUUUGUGUUUCUUUCUUUUAGAUGCUGAGAGACAAAGUGGUGGACAUCCAGAGGGGAGAGAUGCUGAGAGAGCCAACGUCUGCGGUGGACGAUUAAAGACCAAGUCGUCGACAUCCAGAGAGCCUGGACAUGACCGACUGGUUCCAGUCAGAUCCGCGACAGACAUUGACAAGAAACUAUUGAGCGUUAUCAGCGGGCUGUCUGGCCAGAGAGCACCGCUGGAGGAGAAGCUGGAGGAGAGGAUAGCCGCCAUGGAAGCCAAAUUAAACACUUUCUCCAGCGGCGAGAAAAUUAAGCGGAAGAGAGCACAGUCCUAAAAUUGCUACUGGGCUCGCCUCACAAUGAGACAGUCAGGACAUAUUUAGUUAAAACUUUGGCUGAAGUCCAGAUGUGGAGACAGAUGUCCUUCUAUCUGAUUUUAAAAAGCAUUUUGAAACUCUACGGAGGAACUACCGCUACAGUCAACCCAACAUGGCGGAUCAGGCGGAGGCCAUGAAGGCUUCUGCCCGGAGUCGCCACAGAAGAAAGAGGCUGCUGGAUGCCAGGAAGACAGUCCUUGCUCCAGAUAAAGAGGACUUCUGGAAGGGCAUCACAACUGACGAUGUCAGAUGAAGAGGACGGCAGCAUUGACGGGGUGCGUGGAUGGAUAUUGCGGCCUCCAUCCUUCCACAGCCAGGAGCUUGCCAACCUGUGUGCAGCCCUACAGGCACGGCUGGAGGCUGAUGUAAAGUACACAGCUCUACAUCACAGGCGUUUUCGCAAUGGACAGCCGUCUGAUAGACUGAAGCCACUGAAGUACAACACGGCAGCAGCCAGAAAACACUUUAAGCCAGAACUGAUGCCUGAGACCAGCCUGGAGUGAGAGAUGAACUUGGCCAUUUUUUUGUUUUUGUUUUGAAAUGUGUGUGUGUGUGUGUGUGUGUGUGUGUGUGUGUGUGUGUGUGUGUGUGUGUGUGUG